rnacentral:tRNA from 1 species
GGGCAUGUGUCUAAGUGAGGGAGUACUUGCCUGGCAUGCAUGAAGUCCUGGGUUCGAUUCCCAGCACCCA